rnacentral:rRNA from 1 species
GUGGGGAAUUUUGGACAAUGGGCGCAAGCCUGAUCCAGCCAUUCCGCGUGCAGGAUGAAGGCCUUCGGGUUGUAAACUGCUUUUGUACGGAACGAAAAGGUUCUCUCUAAUACAGGGGGCUGAUGACGGUACCGUAAGAAUAAGCACCGGCUAACUACGUGCCAGCAGCCGCGGUAAUACGUAGGGUGCAAGCGUUAAUCGGAAUUACUGGGCGUAAAGCGUGCGCAGGCGGUGAUGUAAGACAGAUGUGAAAUCCCCGGGCUCAACCUGGGAACUGCAUUUGUGACUGCAUUGCUGGAGUGCGGCAGAGGGGGAUGGAAUUCCGCGUGUAGCAGUGAAAUGCGUAGAUAUGCGGAGGAACACCGAUGGCGAAGGCAAUCCCCUGGGCCUGCACUGACGCUCAUGCACGAAAGCGUGGGGAGCAAACAGGAUUAGAAACCCCUGUAGUCC